rnacentral:rRNA from 1 species
GGGGGGAGCAAGCGUUGUUCGGAUUUACUGGGCGUAAAGGGCGCGUAGGCGGUCAGCACAAGUCAGUUGUGAAAUCUCCGGGCUUAACUCGGAAAGGUCAACUGAUACUGUGCGACUAGAGUGCGGAAGGGGCAACUGGAAUUCUCGGUGUAGCGGUGAAAUGCGUAGAUAUCGAGAGGAACACCUGCGGCGAAGGCGGGUUGCUGGGCCGACACUGACGCUGAUGCGCGAAAGCCAGGGGAGCGAACGGGAUUAGAUACCCCGGUAGUCCUGGCCUUAAACGAUGGAUGCUUGGUGUCUGGAGUUUUAUAGUCUCCGGGUGCCGUAGCUAACGCGUUAAGCAUCCCGCCUGGGGAGUACGGUCGCAAGACUG